GAUGAACGCUGGCGGCGUGCCUAAUACAUGCAAGUCGAGCGAACGGACGAGAAGCUUGCUUCUCUGAUGUUAGCGGCGGACGGGUGAGUAACACGUGGAUAACCUACCUAUAAGACUGGGAUAACUUCGGGAAACCGGAGCUAAUACCGGAUAAUAUUUUGAACCGCAUGGUUCAAAAGUGAAAGACGGUCUUGCUGUCACUUAUAGAUGGAUCCGCGCUGCAUUAGCUAGUUGGUAAGGUAACGGCUUACCAAGGCAACGAUGCAUAGCCGACCUGAGAGGGUGAUCGGCCACACUGGAACUGAGACACGGUCCAGACUCCUACGGGAGGCAGCAGUAGGGAAUCUUCCGCAAUGGGCGAAAGCCUGACGGAGCAACGCCGCGUGAGUGAUGAAGGUCUUCGGAUCGUAAAACUCUGUUAUUAGGGAAGAACAUAUGUGUAAGUAACUGUGCACAUCUUGACGGUACCUAAUCAGAAAGCCACGGCUAACUACGUGCCAGCAGCCGCGGUAAUACGUAGGUGGCAAGCGUUAUCCGGAAUUAUUGGGCGUAAAGCGCGCGUAGGCGGUUUUUUAAGUCUGAUGUGAAAGCCCACGGCUCAACCGUGGAGGGUCAUUGGAAACUGGAAAACUUGAGUGCAGAAGAGGAAAGUGGUAUUCCAUGUGUAGCGGUGAAAUGCGCAGAGAUAUGGAGGAACACCAGUGGCGAAGGCGACUUUCUGGUCUGUAACUGACGCUGAUGUGCGAAAGCGUGGGGAUCAAACAGGAUUAGAUACCCUGGUAGUCCACGCCGUAAACGAUGAGUGCUAAGUGUUAGGGGGUUUCCGCCCCUUAGUGCUGCAGCUAACGCAUUAAGCACUCCGCCUGGGGAGUACGACCGCAAGGUUGAAACUCAAAGGAAUUGACGGGGACCCGCACAAGCGGUGGAGCAUGUGGUUUAAUUCGAAGCAACGCGGAGAACCUUACCAAAUCUUGACAUCCUUUGACAACUCUAGAGAUAGAGCCUUCCCCUUCGGGGGGGCAAAGUGACAGGUGGUGCAUGGUUGUCGUCAGCUCGUGUCGUGAGAUGUUGGGUUAAGUCCCGCAACGAGCGCAACCCUUAAGCUUAGUUGCCAUCAUUAAGUUGGGCACUCUAAGUUGACUGCCGGUGACAAACCGGAGAAAGGUGGGGAUGACGUCAAAUCAUCAUGCCCCUUAUGAUUUGGGCUACACACGUGCUACAAUGGACAAUACAAAGGGCAGCGAAACCGCGAGGUCAAGCAAAUCCCAUAAAGUUGUUCUCAGUUCGGAUUGUAGUCUGCAACUCGACUACAUGAAGCUGGAAUCGCUAGUAAUCGUAGAUCAGCAUGCUACGGUGAAUACGUUCCCGGGUCU
rnacentral:rRNA from 1 species